UCAGUGAAGGAUUAUUGUCAGCGAAAGAUAUGAAGGUUCUAAAGAAAAAAAAAGUCAUGUGCAUUCAGUCUUCAAGAUUCAAGGAGCGAUCGUGCAUGCAACUAUCAUUAUAGAAAAUUGUGAAUGGUGAUUCUGAAGUAAACUGCAGCAUAGCAGAUUGGUGUUUGUCGAGAUGGAAAUAUCAAAUAUCCCACAAGUAUAAGGGCAUUGAUGCAAUCUUGUAAGGAGAUGUUCUGCCCACCCCUCAUGCCCAGGUGCAUAUUGUUAUAUCUAACUAGAUAUAAUUUUUAAAGAU